rnacentral:rRNA from 1 species
CAGUCGUACCGGCGGGUAAUCAGCCUUUCGGGUAUGAUUCUGUGGAGUGUGGGGAGCUAAACACCCUCCUGCCUGCAUAUUCGUGCUCUUGGGUGUACUUGCUCGUGUGGUUGGUUAACAUCAAUUUCGGAUGCCAUAAAAUGACUGGAGGAAUGUAGCUUCGAUCUGUAUUGAAGUGUUAUAGCCUUUGGUAGAUGUGGUGAGUCGGGGAUUGGAGGUAUUCGG